rnacentral:rRNA from 1 species
UGGGGAAUUUUGGACAAUGGGCGAAAGCCUGAUCCAGCAAUGCCGCGUGUGUGAAGAAGGCCUUCGGGUUGUAAAGCACUUUUGUCCGGAAAGAAAUCCUUGGCUCUAAUACAGUCGGGGGAUGACGGUACCGGAAGAAUAAGCACCGGCUAACUACGUGCCAGCAGCCGCGGUAAUACGUAGGGUGCAAGCGUUAAUCGGAAUUACUGGGCGUAAAGCGUGCGCAGGCGGUUUGCUAAGACCGAUGUGAAAUCCCCGGGCUCAACCUGGGAACUGCAUUGGUGACUGGCAGGCUAGAGUAUGGCAGAGGGGGGUAGAAUUCCACGUGUAGCAGUGAAAUGCGUAGAGAUGUGGAGGAAUACCGAUGGCGAAGGCAGCCCCCUGGGCCAAUACUGACGCUCAUGCACGAAAAGCGUGGGGGAGCAAAACAGGAUUAGAUACCCUGGUAGUCCCACGCCCUAAAACGAUGUCAACUAGUUGUUGGGGAUUCAUUUCCUUAGUAACGUAGCUAACGCGUGAAGUUGACCGCCUGGGGAGUACGGUCG